rnacentral:tRNA from 2 species
AGGGUAAUAAGAUUAUAAGUUUAAACUUUUGCAGUUCAAUUGCAAGAAAGUCGGAAAAAGACUUAUCCUA